rnacentral:misc_RNA from 1 species
AGGCGCUCGGAUACAUUGGCCAACGACUUAAGGUUGCACUUGAUCAAUGCCUCCACGAAGAAGCAAGUCUCGUCCUUGGUGUUUCCCUCGGGUAUAUCGACAACAAAGGACUCGAUCACCAGCGUCCCCGGCCUCCCCUCGAUGAUCUCUGGAUGGAGGCUAGUGACAGACGAGUAGUUCUUGAGACGGUGAUCUCCUCCGACGAUCUUCAUCCUAAGCACAUGCUCAUUAUCAUCCAGCAGCUCCAGCCUCUCCUUGCUAGUCGUCGCCGGCAGCCCCGACUUGACAUUCACCUCCCGCACACUCCCAAUCGUCGGCGCCCCCUCUACCACGCACCUACUCACAAACGGCUUGUACUUCUGCGGCUGAUCGAAUCUUCUCACCAGCGACCACACAAGGUGAAUUGGAGCUUUGAUAUGCUUGACGAGAAUAGAGCUACACUGAUUCUCCAGCGGCUCAUGCAAAUGAUGCCGCCGCGCGUACUCGACCUCCAUCGCAGUCCGGCAGCUGCUGUCGGCGUUGAUCUCGCGGAUCCACCACCCGGAGACCGGCUCCGGAUCGCCGCCGACGACUCCGCCGCCCAUCUCCGGCGCUCGGCGAUCUCCGAUCAUCGGC